UUUCGUAUUUGUAUUCCACUUUUUAAAACCAUAGCAUUUCAUUUCUUUUAAAUUCAACUACAUAUUUUAUUUUUUUUUUCAACAUUUAUUUUUUUGGGACAGAGAGAGACAGAGCAUGAACGGGGGAGGGGCAGAGAGAGAGGGAGACACAGAAUCGGAAACAGGCUCCAGGCUCUGAGCCAUCAGCCCAGAGCCCGACGCGGGGCUCGAACUCACGGACCGCGAGACCGUGACCUGGCUGAAGUCGGACGCUUAACCGACUGCGCCACCCAGGCGCCCCAACUACAUAUUUUAAAAGGAGAAGGGAAGAAUGGGGAACUGGCGCUGGUGACAGAGCCAGGGAGGACAGGGACUAGAGCCGGCGAGGAUACGUCUUUGGCAGUACUACGAUUUGUGUUUCGAUUCCCUGUCUAACAUGGCAGCAGACACCAACUGGGAACCAAGAUUAGAUGUGAGAAUCCUGAAAGUGACCUCAAUACACCAGAGAUUCUACAAGCACAUCUGCUCACCUGAUCUCCCACUGUCCAGCUUUCUGUGCAUGUCUUGACCCCCUUGAAGUCCAAUGCCUG
rnacentral:lncRNA from 1 species